UUCAUUUAUCAGUGGUUAGUACAUGCAAUGUAUUUCGUUGGAUAGUAACGGAAAAUCUGUUAGUAAUACAUGAACUAUGUUUAGUAUUCUACUAAAGAUAAUAGUAAGUACGUUUGCAUAUCUGCCACUGCAGCAUCAUCUUACGUUGGUGGGGUAUUUGCCUACCAAGGAUUCGACGCUUACGGGGAAUUAGGGUUUGACUCCGGAGAAUGAGCAUGAGAAACAGCUCAUACAUCUAAGGAAGGCAGCAGGCGCGGAAAUUGCCCAAUGUAUUCGUUACGAGGCAGUGACAAGAAAUGAAGGGUACUUUUGUACACCAUCUAGGGCCUGUUAUAUCUAAGCUAACCGGUUAUUCGUGGGAAAGCUCGGUGCCAGCAGCCGCGGUAAUUCCGACACGGAGAGUAUUCUAUUGUGUUGCUGCAGUUAAAAAGUUCGUAGUUUAUUUUCUUUUUCACUAUAAGUAAAUCUAAGUGUUUAUAACUACUUAACUGUUUUUAUAGUAUGAAAUUAUAAUGCGGUAUUUGGCGUAGUUUGGGGUACUCGAUAGGGACAGGUGAAAUAGGAUGAUCUAUCGAAGACCAACGGUAGCGGAGGCUCCCAACGCAGUCUAAGUAUCACGAUCAAGAACUAAAGUCAGGGGAUAGACGACGAUUAGAAACCGUUUUAUUCCUGACCCUAAACGAUGUCGCCUAGCUGAUGGGGUUUUUACUUCAUUUGCCAAGAGAAAUCGUAAGGUUUCAGACUCUGGGGGAAGUAUGAUCGCAAGGUUGAAACUUGAAGGGAUUGACGGAGAGGUACCACCAGACGUGGAGUCUGCGGCUCAAUUUGACUCAACACGCAAAUCUUACUAGGCCCAGAAGCUUUGAGGAUUGACAGAUGAGUGAUCUUUCAUGAUUAAGUUGUUGGUGGUGCAUGGCCGUUCUUAGUCCGUGAUUUAAAUUGUCUGCUUUAUUGCGAUAACGAACGAGACCUCUAUCAGAUUAAUUAUCUGAGACUGCUAGUGAUGAACUAGAGGAAGGCAGAGGCAAAAACAGGUCUGUGAUGCCCUUAGAAGCCCUAGGCCGCACGCGUACUACAAUGGCAGGUUCAUCGUGUUGCUUCCCUGAAAAUGGUGGCAGUUCAUUAAAACUUGUCGUGGUUAGGCUUGAAA
rnacentral:rRNA from 1 species